rnacentral:rRNA from 1 species
UGACGUCAAAUCAUCAUGCCCCUUACUGACCUGGGCUACACACGUGCUACAAUGGUUGGUACAACGAGUUGCGAGUCGGUGACGGCGAACUAAUCUCUUAAAGCCAAUCUCAGUUCGGAUUGUAGGCUGCAACUCGCCUACAUGAAGUCGGAAUCGCUAGUAAUCGCGGAUCAGCACGCCGCGGUGAAUACGUUCCCGGGCCUU